UAACUACUCCCUUUGUCCCAAAUUUCCUGUCUUAGAUUUGUCUAGAUACGGAUGUAUCUAAUACUAAAAUGUGACUUGAUACAUCCGUAUCUAGACAAAUCUAAGACAAGAAUUUUGGGACGGAGGGAGUACUUU
rnacentral:pre_miRNA from 1 species